rnacentral:rRNA from 1 species
UGCCUGAUGGAGGGGGAUAACUACUGGAAACGGUAGCUAAUACCGCAUAACGUCGCAAGACCAAAGAGGGGGACCUUCGGGCCUCUUGCCAUCGGAUGUGCCCAGAUGGGAUUAGCUAGUAGGUGGGGUAACGGCUCACCUAGGCGACGAUCCCUAGCUGGUCUGAGAGGAUGACCAGCCACACUGGAACUGAGACACGGUCCAGACUCCUACGGGAGGCAGCAGUGGGGAAUAUUGCACAAUGGGCGCAAGCCUGAUGCAGCCAUGCCGCGUGUAUGAAGAAGGCCUUCGGGUUGUAAAGUACUUUCAGCGGGGAGGAAGGGAGUAAAGUUAAUACCUUUGCUCAUUGACGUUACCCGCAGAAGAAGCACCGGCUAACUCCGUGCCAGCAGCCGCGGUAAUACGGAGGGUGCAAGCGUUAAUCGGAAUUACUGGGCGUAAAGCGCACGCAGGCGGUUUGUUAAGUCAGAUGUGAAACCCCCCGGGCUCA